rnacentral:rRNA from 1 species
AACGCGAAGAACCUUACCCAGGCUUGACAUGCAAGUGGUACUGAGCCGAAGCAGGACCGCAAGGAGCUUGCACAGGUGUUGCACGGCUGUCGUCAGCUCGUGUCGUGAGAUGUUGGGUUAAGUCCCGCAACGAGCGCAACCCUCGGGGUCUGUUGUAUCUCUCAGACCCGACUGCCGAGAGAAACUCGGAGGAAGGUGGGGAUGACGUCAAGUCAGCGUGGCCCUUACGCCUGGGGCUACACGCACGCUACAAUGGCUGGUCACAGCGAGUCGCGACGUCGCGAGACGAAGCUAAUCUCUUAAAACCAGCCUCAGUUCAGAUCGGAGGCUGCAACUCGCCUCCGUGAAGUCGGAGUUGCUAGUAACCGCAGGUCAGCACACUGCGGUGAAUAUGUUCCCGGGCCUUGUACACACCGUAGUAC